rnacentral:rRNA from 1 species
UUAUUAGUUUAAAGUAUGAUUGGGGACUACGAGCAAUAGCUUAAAAACCCAAGAAUUUGGCGGUGUCUUAUUCAAUUAGGGGAAUCUGUCUCGUAAUCGACAACCCACGAAUAAUAUACCUACUUUUAAAAAAUUAGUUUGUGUACUGCCGAUUAUAUAGGCCCUUAAAGUAACCUAUAAUAAAUUUUUUAAAUUAUAUGUCAGGUCAAGGUGCAGCUUAUAAGUAGGAGAAGGUGGAUUACUAAUUUAUAAAAUAAUCAAAAUUAUAUAGUAGUAAUAUAUUUAAGUAGAACUUAAUAGUAAUGAUAUUUAUAAAAUAACAUGAAAAUGAACUUAAGACAA